GGAAGUCCUAGAAACUUCUCCAAAUAUAUUCCAACAUAUUUCCAAGCCCAAACUAAAGAUCAAAUUGAAGAUUAAAGUGGUUAAGGGUUUCCAAGGGAGGUCUACACUUGUCUCCCCUUCUUGAAGAUGUUGGGGUGAGUAUUUUUAAGGUGGAGAAACUAUGGAAUUGAAGUGUUCUUGAAUUUUGAGAUUACGAUCUUGGGAGGACAAGCGUUAAGUAGUUAAAGUUAAGGCGACCGAAAAGGUAGACAGGUAGACGAAAUUACCCAUAGGAGCUUCAUCAGCGGAAUCUCAGGAGCUCUCCACAUACUUCGGACUGCAGUCUAUUGGCAUCGGUCUUCAUUGUCACUUGUAUUCUAUGUAGAGGCUCGUAGACAUGUAUGUACAGUUAGACGUUUCAUAACCCUAUCAGUUCAUAUCGUUGUGUAACAUUUUAGUAGUCUUGACGGCUGGUGAUGAUGGA